AUCUAGCUAAGGAGUCCAAAAUAGAACGAAACGUGUGUCAAACUGGAU
rfam:Schistosoma rodhaini strain Burundi genome assembly, scaffold: SROB_scaffold0000096